rnacentral:sRNA from 1 species
GCCGGGCAGGGUGGUGCACGCCUGUAAUCCCAGCUACUCAGGAGGCUGAGGCAGGAGAAUUGCUUGAACCCGGGAGGCGGAGGUUGCAGUGAGCCGAGAUUGCGCCACUGCACUGCAACCUGGGUGACAGAGCGAAACUCCGCCUCAAAAAAAAAAAACUACCUAAGACUGGGUAAUUUGAGACAGGGUAUCACUCUGUCACCUAGGCGUGAGUGCAGUGGUAGAUCACUGCUCACUGCAGCCUCAACUUCCUGGGCUCAAGCAAUCCUCCUGCCUCA